UGGGGAAUCUUGCGCAAUGGUCGAAAGACUGACGCAGCGACGCCGCGUGUGGGAGGACGCCUUUCGGGGUGUAAACCACUGUUGCCCGGGACGAACAGCUUCUUUCGAGAAGUCUGACGGUACCGGGUGAGGAAGCACCGGCUAACUCCGUGCCAGCAGCCGCGGUAAUACGGAGGGUGCGAGCGUUGUCCGGAAUCAUUGGGCGUAAAGGGCGCGUAGGUGGCCCGGUCAGUUCGUGGUGAAAGCGCGGGGCUCAACCCCGCGUCGGCCAUGAAUACUGCUAGGCUUGAGCACUGUAGAGGCAGGCGGAAUUCCGGGUGUAGCGGUGGAAUGCGUAGAGAUCCGGAAGAACACCGGUGGCGAAGGCGGCCUGCUGGGCAGUAGCUGACACUGAGGCGCGACAGCGUGGGGAGCAAACA
rnacentral:rRNA from 1 species